GACGAACGCUGGCGGCGUGCCUAACACAUGCAAGUCGAACGGAAAGGCCCUGCUUUUGUGGGGUGCUCGAGUGGCGAACGUGUGAGUAACACGUGAGUAACCUGCCCUUGACUUUGGGACAACUUCAGGAAACUUGGGCUAAUACCGGAUAGGAUCUCCCGCUGCAUGGCGGGGGUUGGAAAGGUUCGGCGGUUGGGGAUGGACUGGCGGCUUAUCAGCUUGUUGGUGGGGUAGUGGCUUACCAAGGCUUUGACGGGUAGCCGGCCUGGGAGGGGGACCGGCCACAUUGGGACUGAGAUACGGCCCGGACUCGAACGGGAGGCAACAGUGGGGAGUGGGGUACAGUAGGCGGAAGCAUGAUGCAACAAAGCCGCGUGGGGUAAGACGGCAAUCGGGUUGGAAACCGCUUUCGCCUGUGACGGGGCGUGGGUGACGGUAAUGGGUGAAGAAGCACCGGCUAACUACGUG
rnacentral:rRNA from 1 species